rnacentral:rRNA from 1 species
GAUGAACGCUGGCGGCGUGCCUAAUACAUGCAAGUCGAGCGAACAGACGAGGAGCUUGCUCCUCUGACGUUAGCGGCGGACGGGUGAGUAACACGUGGAUAACCUACCUAUAAGACUGGGAUAACUUCGGGAAACCGGAGCUAAUACCGGAUAAUAUAUUGAACCGCAUGGUUCAAUAGUGAAAGACGGUUUUGCUGUCACUUAUAGAUGGAUCCGCGCCGCAUUAGCUAGUUGGUAAGGUAACGGCUUACCAAGGCGACGAUGCGUAACCGACCUGAGAGGGGGAUCGGCCACACUGGAACUGAGACACGGUCCAGACUCCUACGGGAGGCAGCAGUAGGGAAUCUGACGCAAUGGGCGAAAGCAUGACGGAGCAACGCAGCGUGAGUGAUGAAGGUCUUCGGAUCGUAAAACUCUGUUAUUAGGGAAGAACAAAUGUGUAAGUAACUAUGCACGUAUUGACGGUACCUAAUCAGAAAGCCACGGCUAACUACGUG